CGGGGGGGGGGCAAGCGUUGUUCGGAAUUACUGGGCGUAAAGGGCGCGUAGGCGGACGAGACAGUCUUUCGUGAAAUCCCACGGGCUGAACCGUGGAACUGCGGGAGAUACUACUCGUCUUGAGUUCGGGAGAGGAGUGUGGAAUUCCCAGUGUAGCGGUGAAAUGCGUAGAUAUUGGGAGGAACACCGGUGGCGAAGGCGGCACUCUGGACCGAUACUGACGCUGAGGCGCGAAAGCUAGGGGAGCAAACGGGAUUAGAUACCCCGGUAGUCCUAGCUGUAAACGAUGAGCACUAGGUGUAGCGGGUAUCGACCCCUGCUGUGCCGGAGUUAACGCAUUAAGUGCUCCGCCUGGGGAGUACGGUCGCAAAGGCUG
rnacentral:rRNA from 1 species